rnacentral:rRNA from 1 species
UACGAAGGGGGCUAGCGUUGCUCGGAAUCACUGGGCGUAAAGGGUGCGUAGGCGGGUCUUUAAGUCAGGGGUGAAAUCCUGGAGCUCAACUCCAGAACUGCCUUUGAUACUGAAGAUCUUGAGUUCGGGAGAGGUGAGUGGAACUGCGAGUGUAGAGGUGAAAUUCGUAGAUAUUCGCAAGAACACCAGUGGCGAAGGCGGCUCACUGGCCCGAUACUGACGCUGAGGUGCGAAAGCGUGGGGAGCAA